CCUACGGGUGGCUGCAGUGGGGAAUAUUGCACAAUGGGCGCAAGCCUGAUGCAGCCAUGCCGCGUGUGUGAAGAAGGCCUUCGGGUUGUAAAGCACUUUCAGCGGGGAGGAAGGCGUUAAGGUUAAUAACCUUGUCGAUUGACGUUACCCGCAGAAGAAGCACCGGCUACUCCGUGCCAGCAGCCGCGGUAAUACGGAGGGUGCAAGCGUUAAUCGGAAUUACUGGGCGUAAAGCGCACGCAGGCGGUCUGUCAAGUCGGAUGUGAAAUCCCCGGGCUCAACCUGGGAACUGCAUUCGAAACUGGCAGGCUAGAGUCUUGUAGAGGGGGGUAGAAUUCCAGGUGUAGCGGUGAAAUGCGUAGAGAUCUGGAGGAAUACCGGUGGCGAAGGCGGCCCCCUGGACAAAGACUGACGCUCAGGUGCGAAAGCGUGGGGAGCAAACAGGAUUAGAUACCCGAGUAGUC
rnacentral:rRNA from 1 species